GAUUCAUGAUAACUUCUCGAAUCGCACGGCCUUGCGCCGGCGAUGGUUCAUUCAAAUUUCUUCCCUAUCAACUUUCGAUGUUUGGGUAUUGGCCAAACAUGGUUGCAACGGGUAACGGAGGGUUAGGGCUCGACCCCGGAGAAGGAGCCUGAGAAACGGCUACUACAUCCAAGGAAGGCAGCAGGCGCGCAAAUUACCCAAUCCCGACACGGGGAGGUAGUGACAAUAAAUACUGAUACAGGGCUCUUUUGGGUCUUGUAAUUGGAAUGAGUACAAUUUAAACCCCUUAACGAGGAACAAUUGGAGGGCAAGUCUGGUGCCAGCAGCCGCGGUAAUUCCAGCUCCAAUAGCGUAUAUUAAAGUUGUUGUGGUUAAAAAGCUCGUAGUUGAACCUUGGGCCUGGCUGGCCGGUCCGCCUCACCGCGUGUACUGGUCCGGCCGGGCCUUUCCCUCUGUGGAACCCCAUGCCCUUCACUGGGUGUGACGGGGAACCAGGACUUUUAC
rnacentral:rRNA from 1 species